CCUACGGGCGGCAGCAGUGGGGGAUAUUGCACAAUGGGGGGAACCCUGAUGCAGCGACGCCGCGUGAGCGAUGGAGUACUUCGGUAUGUAAAGCUCUGUCAGCAGGGAAGAAAAUGACGGUACCUGACCAAGAAGCCCCGGCUAAAUACGUGCCAGCAGCCGCGGUAAUACGUAUGGAGCAAGCGUUAUCCGGAUUUACUGGGUGUAAAGGGAGAGUAGGUGGCAGAGCAAGUCCGAAGUGAAAACCCAAAGCUCAACUAUGGGAAUGCUUUAGAAACUGCUCAGCUAGAGUGCAGGAGAGGCAAGUGGAAUUCUUAGUGUAGCGGUGAAAUGCGUAGAUAUUAGGAGGAACACCAGUGGCGAAGGCGGCUUGCUGGACUGUAACCGACACUGAGGCUCGAAAGCGUGGGGAGCAAACAGGAUUAGAUACCCUUGUAGUC
rnacentral:rRNA from 1 species